UUUUGACUGAGAAAAGAUAGACUCCUUUAAAAGUUUGUUGUGUGAGAACCACCUACAUCAGGAUCAAUUUAAAGGACUAGGAAAAUUCAUAUUUUCUUUCUAAUUGAAUCAUAUUUUCCUUUAGAAAUUGUCUUAAACUAGACAUAGAAUUAUGAUGUACGUCAGACAAGAAUAAGUAUUUAACCAGCAGUGAAGAUACAUGGUUAGAAUAACCGUUUUUUAAUGGUGGCCAGGUAUAAUGAUGCAAUGCAUACACUAUAGAACACAUACACUAUAUAACUUAAAUAAUAACAAGUAACUAUAGGUCCCAAACUGCUUUCACUUUAAGCAAAAAUACUUCAAAAGAAGUAAAGAAAUAAAGAACACUGCAAGUAAUUGAAACCCUGAGAAAGAUGGUAGUUUAUUCGAACUAGUUUUAUUCCCAACUUUUUACUUGUUUUUUUCUUUCAGCUAGAAUGAAUUCUUAUAACUUGAUGGAUGCUACAUUGGAACUGCUACAGUUUUUUUGUGCAAUCAACUUUUGGACUCACAAAUUGAAGCUAAAAAAGAAAGAAUAAUUGCAUUUUAUUAAGAAAACAUAUGUGGGAAGAUUUUCUUCUGGAUGUUACAAAGCAGAGCUGUGAUCAAAACUCAUAUACAUCAAAUAAAGGCUUUUCUUCAUUUACCAUACUGCCACAAAAUACUUCAGCCUCCAGGAAUGACUUUUAAAUGACCAAAUAAACUCUGACUGGACAUGAGGGACAGACACCAUUAAGUAGACCAACAUAAUCACCAUAAUCACUCACCGAGAACUAAACAAUCAAGUCACAUAAAGCAGUGUACGAUGACAUUGCAUGAUAGAUGAAGGGGACAAUGACUGGAGUCACCCUGGGAAGCUGCUGCAGGGUGCAGUGUCUUAAGCUAGUAGGAAGAAGGGGACUAGGGCAGGGAAAGAGUUCUUAACUGUCUUGCUGUUGCUAAGCAUUGUUCACUGUAACACCUUCCUUGAGCCAGCAGGAUGAUGUCCUAAUAGCCCCUUUGCUUCUUUGUGCUGCUCUUUUAUUCACUUAUAUCACCAGCCACCUUGAUGCUCAUGGAUUUUCUCUGCAAGUAGGGGGUCAUCAACAAGAACACCUUGGAAGAGGAAACCACAGAGCCUGCGGUGUGCUACAAGGGAUUCAAGCAGGAACCUGGAGGCUUGAUGUGUGACUGAGAGCCAGGAAAGGAUUAUCCUCUUAAAACACCCUGUAUGGAAGGGCUCAGUGUGAUCAAAGCCUGCCAGUAACAAGGUAGUGGUUAUAUAAAUCAAAUCAUGUAAUUUACUAUAAUUGUAUACAUCAAAGAUAGUCCUUUCUACAUGCCAGGUGCUGCCACGUGUACUUUAGCAGGAAUAACUUUUUAAUUCUUUACAAUAACUUCCUGUGAUAGGAACCAUUAUUUUUCACAUGUGAGAGUUGUGGAUACAGAAACAUAGUAAGCUUCUUCUCCCUACUUCUUUUUCCCAGAGCCUUCUAAUUGUAC